AACCCAUGAUGGGGGCAUUUUCGGAAAAGGUCCUUGAACCUUUCAUAAGCUUUGAACAAAGUUUCUGAGUCUCAUUGCUUAAGGCUGAAAUUUCCUGCCUGAGUUU